rnacentral:rRNA from 1 species
UACGGAGGGUGCAAGCGUUAAUCGGAAUUACUGGGCGUAAAGCGCGCGUAGGCGGCUGGAUAAGUCGAUUGUGAAAGCCCCGGGCUCAACCUGGGAAUUGCAGUCGAGACUGUCGGCUAGAGUGUGGGAGAGGCAGUGGAAUUCCCGGUGUGAGCGGUGAAUGCGUAGAUAUCGGGAGGAACGAUCAGUGGCGAAGGCGA